AUAUAUAUAUAUAUAUAUAUAUAUAUAUAUAUAUAUAUACAUAUAUAUACACAUAUAUAUAUAUAUAUAUAUAUACACACACACACACACACACAUACACACACACACACACACUACCAGUCAAAAGUUUGUGGACACUGUUUGUUUCUCAUGAUCUUAAAAAGCUUUUGAUCUGAAGGUGUGUUAUUAAAUGUUUGAAAUUGGUGUCGUAGACAAAAAUAUAAUCGUGCCGACGUAUUCGUUUCUUUCAUUAGAAAAAUAACAUUUUAUUUACAAAAAUAUAUUUAUUUUUAAACGGAUGAGCGAAAUAUUCCGAAAAGCAGCCGAUAAGUGUCUGGUGUAGGUGUGAACUCCUUUAAUACUGUUAAAAAGCAUCUCCUGGGGAUUCCUCAAGAAAUGGGGUGAGAAAACGCCAAGAAUACAUUUACGGAAAUUCUCUGCAAAAAGGGUGUCUACUUUGAAGAUGAUAAAAUACUAAAUUUUAUCACAACAAAUUUCCCAUAGUUUCAUUUGUGUUACUCUAGAGUUUUGAUCACUUGAUUAUUAUUCUAAAAUGCGGAAAAUAAAAUAAAAAUAAAGAAUGAGUGUGUCUAAACUUUUGACCGGUAGCAUAUAUAAAGAGCAGAUAUGUAGAAUGAGGAACAUUAAUUAAUCCUGGAGACAUGCUUAAAAAUUUGGGUAAUAAUAAUAAUAAUAAUUUACAUUUAUCAAUUUUACAGUUAAGAUAGUAGGCUGCAUUACCAAGUAGUGAAUUUAUUUAUACUCCAGUAUUAGUAUUUGCAUAGGCAAAAAUGGUUAUUUUCAUAUACGUUGGAGUAGAUUUUAAAAAAAAGAAAAAGAAAGAAAAAACCCCAGCAAGAUUGUUCUUUUUGGAUAUUGUGAUCAUUUCUUAACCACACACUGGACACCUGAUAUCGAUGUAUUGAUAUAUUUUUCACAUAAAACACACAAAACACCAGUAACAAUGACUGAAAGUAACUUGAGGUUUAAUUUUCUGAAUGUGUGGCUUCACUGUAUAGAGGAUGGUUUGAAAAGGUUUAAAAUGAUCUGUUUUCACAUUUUGAAUGAUAAAAACAAGCGAAUUUCUG
ensembl:lncRNA